GAAAGAGUUUUAUGUCACCGAAGGAAAUAUUACAAUGAAAACUUUCAUUAAGGCUUGGAACGACGGACGUAUAAUGGAAGUGUUUGGUUCCGGUACUGCGUCCAUUGUUCUACCAGUCCAAGAAAUUUGUUACCUCGAUCAGAAGUUCAAUAUACCAACAGACACAGACACUAGUCUGACUCAGAGGCUAUUUAACGAGAUUACAAGCAUCCAUUACUAUAGCAAGCCGCACCAUUGGAUGGAAACACUAGAUCCUGAGGAGGAAGAAAAGACUGCUGGAUGUGGGUAAAGAUUUCUCUUGCUGACUAUUUGUAGACAAGAGCGGCAACAUGUGGUUGAUGCUAACAAUAAAUACAUUAUGACAUAUUUUUGUUACUUUCCUUUGAGUUUCAAAGGUUUUUUUUACAAGGGGGUUUUAAGAUAACAAUGGAUUUGAAACACGGUUUAACUUAACUAACGAUACCAACGUUGAUUCCACCAGAAUGUGGUAAAUAAUUACGGAGAUAAAGAGUUAAUGUAAGGCACACAUGCAGACGAUAAUGAGAGUAUGAGAGUACAUGCUGAUCAUUUUACUUUACGAUAUUGACUGACAUAUAUACCUAACAAUUAGAAAUGAUAUCAAUAUGCCAGUUACUAUUAUUUUAAGAUUUCCACUGAAGUCAUUGAACUAAAUAAAAUGACAAAGAUAAUGUACAGCUCAUUGUUGGGUGCGCGGAUUGGUGAAAUGUCUUUAAACUGAGGACUUCAAUUUUCCAUUGCAUUUUAAAUAUUGAUUUAGAAAGCCUAUUAAAAAGAAGGAAUCAAAUGUAAUUAUGUCUAAAGAGUAGAUUUAAAUCACCCACAAAGUUAUAGAUCUUAAAGAGGCCAAUCAAUUACUAAUGAGAACAUACAAUUCAUUAAAGAUAUAUGUAUAUGUGUACAUUAGAUUUUUUUAAAAUUAUGUGAAAUAAAACAUGUUUGUAACA
rnacentral:sRNA from 1 species